ACGAGUUUGCCCCUGAGUAGAAGUGCAGCAGCACAAGGGAUGUGCUGUGCUCGGCACUGGAAGGCCGAGAGCAUGAAGCAUCAGAGCAGAGUUGGUUGUCCUGUAGCACAACUGCGCCACAGAUUUUGAUUAAAUUGAUACGGGCUCGAGCACGCAUGGAUGAAAUCUGAGAGAGGUGCUACGAUGAGCGCCUAGGCACUCGCCUAUGCACUACGACAAGAAAAAAAAACUAGAUUGUAGCUAUGCUCUACCCUAGCACAAUGGCGCUCUGCCCUGUAUUAUAAAAGGAUUCUUCAAAUCUUCGCAUGGGAGAUUCACUUCAACUCGAUUUUCCUCUCAAUUUUCCAGAUCUCUAUACUUUUGUCUCUCAUUUUCUUUUCUGUCCUUUCAUCCUUGCUUGUUAUUCCAUGAUGCAUCUUGAAAGAAUGCAAGGAUAAAGGUAAGAAAUUCUAGUCUAGGUUAGGAUGAGUCUUAAUCAUUCUUGGUUAUGAGGUUGUAAUUAUCUGUAAUUCUGGAUGAAUUUCUUGUUGUAAUUUCAUUCUUGAAUGGUGAAUGAACCUCUAUGCAUUUAGUUUUAGGGUUUUUGGCCGAUUCUCUUUAAUUCUUUGAAUGUUAGGAAUUGUUGACAUGUCUAUGUGUUUAAUCUCAAAGAGCAAAAAAUAAAGCAUGCUUAUGUAUGAAUUAGGUUAAUUAGGUUAAUCUUUUCAUAAUAUUUCAUAAUUAGUUGAUUUCAAGAACAAUUGAAUUAAUAACCUAAACUUUUCGAACUAUUAAUUCAUCUUAGUCAAGAUUACCUUUUCUUAAUGCAAAUGCUUGAUUAAUAUUGAAACUAUGUAACACAGUUAAUUAAGGCAUUUAGAAUUGAUUAAGUGAUUAAUCAUGAAAUCAGGGUAUGCAUUUCUAGGCUUUUAGGCUUCAUAGGCUAAGUCAAUAAUUAGGAAGAAAAUUCAUUUGUUUAAGGUAUGCAAUUUUAGGCUGCAUAGGCUGCAUAGGCUAAGUCAUUAAUUAGGAAGAAAAUUCACUUGUUUAGGGCCAAUGAAUCACUACUACAAAAACAACAUUACUUGACGGUUGCAAAUUAGAAGUACUUAACGUUUUUAGGAAAAAAAAAAUGUCAAGUUAUAUGUAAAAAUGUAAGAAGUAAUGAAAAAAGCGGAGAAUGACCAAAUUUUUUGAAUUUUUUUCACGCUGACCAAGUACUCGAUGGUUUAGAAACAUCAAGUUUAACUUUAUUUUCAUGUCAUUUUGAAAACCUCAAGUAUAACUUAUUUUCAUAAAGAAAUAAAAAUCCUCAUGUGGAAUAUUGGCUUCCCUCAUUUACGGAAAGAAAAUCGGUUGACACUCGCGCGCUUGGUUCUUCAUCUUCGUCCCAUCAUCUUCAAAGUUCUUCCCAAAAGUUAGGGUUUGCUAACAAUUGGUCCCUUCACGCUGCCGACUAUGGUUCGACGCUAUCGCCGGUGGUUCGACACUACUGUUGGUGGUUUGACGUUGCUGCCGGUGGUUCCAUACUGCUGUAUCGACGACAGUACCGACGCAAACCCCUUGGCAAUUUUCGUGGGUCUCUUUUUUUGGCUGAAGAAGAGAGACAACCGCAUGAAGAAAACAAGUUCGCAACAGUCGCCUGAGGAGAUCGUGAGUCCUCUGGACUGUGCGGCCGGCUUCGUGGAAGGCCAAAGCCGAAAGCGAUGUCUGAAGCCGCCUGUGAGUAGCCAUCCUUGAAGAGCCACUCGGCUGGACGUUGGGUGUCGGCUUCGUGGAAGAGCAGUGGUCGGCCAGAUCCGGUUUAGCACGUGGGUGCACUGGUCAACUUCGGUUUAGCGCGUGGGUGCGCCGGUCAGUUUCGUUUUAGCGCGUGGGUUUACUUGCAGAUCUGGUUUUAGUGGUUCGCCAGUCAAAGGUUCAGAAACUCUCACAAGUGGUAUCAGAGAUCCAGUUGAUCCAAUGUCUGAGGCCGACUAUAUUUAUAUAUAUUCUACUUGAGUUUAAAUGUGGUUCAUCUCAUCUAUUCUCCUACAAAUCACUUGUAUCCCAUAUUGCGUACACUUGGUGAAUCUCUACAAUCUACUAUCCUCCUUGUUAGUCUGCAACACCAUUUUAGUGCUAGAGUCAAUUCGGUGGUUCGUUGAUCCUCAAACUACAAUCCCCAAGUAAAAUAGCCCAAACUAUUAACAUAACCAUUAGUAUGAGGUUCGUGUAUUAUGUAUGUUUUUCCUAAUUUUAAAUGUUGUAUAUUUAGGUUUGACUUGUAGUUGAAGUACACUGCCAUUAGUUUGUGGUUUUUUCCUAUUCUUUGU